AACGAACGCUGGCGGCAGGCUUAACACAUGCAAGUCGAACGCCCCGCAAGGGGAGUGGCAGACGGGUGAGUAACGCGUGGGAACAUACCCUUUUCUACGGAAUAGCUCUGGGAAACUGGAAUUAAUACCGUAUACGCCCUACGGGGGUAAGAUUUAUCGGGGAAGGAUUGGCCCGCGUUGGAUUAGCUAGUUGGUGGGGUAAAGGCCUACCAAGGCGACGAUCCAUAGCUGGUCUGAGAGGAUGAUCAGCCACAUUGGGACUGAGACACGGCCCAAACUCCUACGGGAGGCAGCAGUGGGGAAUAUUGGACAAUGGGCGCAAGCCUGAUCCAGCCAUGCCGCGUGAGUGAUGAAGGCCUUAGGGUUGUAAAGCUCUUUCACCGAUGAAGAUAAUGACGGUAGUCGGAGAAGAAGCCCCGGCUAACUUCGUG
rnacentral:rRNA from 1 species